rnacentral:rRNA from 1 species
GACGAACGCUGGCGGCGUGCCUAAUACAUGCAAGUAGGACGCAGAUGGGAACGUGUGAGUAACGCGUAGGUCACUGCCUAUUGGAGGGGGAUAACUAUUGGAAACGAUAGCUAAUACCGCAUACUAGUAGAUGGAACUGCGUUGUAUUGGCUAGUAGGUAGGGUAAUGGCCUACCUAGGCGACGAUACAUAGCCGAUCUGAGAGGGUGAUCGGCCACACUGGGACUGGGACACGGCCCAGACUCCUACGGGAGGCAGCAGUAGGGAAUCUUCGGCAAUGGAGGGAAGUCUGACGGAGCAACGCCGCGUGAGUGAAGACGGUUUUCGGGUGGUAAAGCUCUGUUGUUAGGGAAGCGGUACCUAACUAGAAAGGCACGGCUAACUACGUGCCAGCAGCCGCGGUAAUAC